GACGAACGCUGGCGGCGUGCUUAACACAUGCAAGUCGAACGAGAUCCAUCGAGUGGCAACACUCGUGAAGAUCUAGUGGCGAACGGGUGCGUAACACGUGAGAAACCAACCCGAACUUCGGGAUAACAGGUGGAAACGCCUGCUAAUACCGGAUACCUCCGCCGAGUCGCAUGGCUUGGCGAAGAAAGGUCCGCCGGUUCGGGACGGUCUCGCGGCCUAUCAGCUUGUUGGUGGGGUAAUGGCCUACCAAGGCAUCGACGGGUAGCUGGUCUGAGAGGACGAUCAGCCACACUGGGACUGAGACACGGCCCAGACUCCUACGGGUGGCUG
rnacentral:rRNA from 1 species